ensembl:lncRNA
CUCCAGCAAGCAGACGACAGCAGAGAGCAGACAGGCCAUGAAGCUGCAUCUUGAGCCAGUUCUGGUAUACCUCAGAGCCACAAUCUGAGUUGCUUUGAUUAAGCCCCUGUGUACAGACAGGAAGCUGAGAAUCAAAUCUGGCUACCCAAAGGAAUUUACUCUGCAGUGUGCUGUUUCAAUGCAAUGACAUCACAGACACCGGCAGGACCCUUAGAAGUCUCCCUUACAGCCCACAUCACACCUCCAGCAGUGGCAAUCUCCUGUGCAUGCGUCAGACAGCCCUCCUACACCUGGGCUGAGAGCAGCACCCCACACGGGCUGACACAAUGCCUGGGAUGUGUGUCAUGAUUCGUGGCACACAGCCUCACCGAUGCAGUGGCAUGACCUGCUGAGCUGUGUGGGACAUUUGCUCUGUGAUGAGGUGCAAGUUCUGCGUGCUCGGCAAACCUUUAUUAAUUUUAAACAGAACGGCGGAUGUCAAUUAACUGUGGGAGAUCUGUCAGCGUUUGUUAACGCUCUCUGUAUUCCUUUAUUAAUUUUUCAUACAGUCGUGGAUGUGCAUCUGCUCAGGGGAAAUAUCAACAGCAGGACGGCGUGUUUCCCCACAGGGCCCCGUGCUGGGAGG